rnacentral:misc_RNA from 1 species
AAGAAUUGCCCCGUCUUCUCGAAGAUGGGUUCUAUUCCAAACCGUGUUUACAUACCUUUGUUGCUUUGGCGGGCCGCCGUUUCGGCGUUGGCUCCGGCUGACUGCGCCCGCCAGAGGACCACAACUCUUGUUUUACCUGCAGUCAGAGUAACUACUUAAUAGUUA